rnacentral:rRNA from 1 species
GUCGAACGAUGAUGCCCAGCUUGCUGGGUGGAUUAGUGGCGAACGGGUGAGUAACACGUGAGUAACCUGCCCCUGACUCUGGGAUAAGCGUUGGAAACGACGUCUAAUACUGGAUAUGAUCACUGGCCGCAUGGUCUGGUGGUGGAAAGAUUUUUUGGUUGGGGAUGGACUCGCGGCCUAUCAGCUUGUUGGUGAGGUAAUGGCUCACCAAGGCGACGACGGGUAGCCGGCCUGAGAGGGUGACCGGCCACACUGGGACUGAGACACGGCCCAGACUCCUACGGGAGGCAGCAGUGGGGAAUAUUGCACAAUGGGCGAAAGCCUGAUGCAGCAACGCCGCGUGAGGGAUGACGGCCUUCGGGUUGUAAACCUCUUUUAGUAGGGAAGAAGCGAAAGUGACGGUACCUGCAGAAAAAGCACCGGCUAACUACGUGCCAGCAGCCGCGGUAAUACGUAGGGUGCAAGCGUUGUCCGGAAUUAUUGGGCGUAAAGAGCUCGUAGGCGGUUUGUCGCGUCUGCUGUGAAAUCCCGAGGCUCAACCUCGGGCUUGCAGUGGGUACGGGCAGACUAGAGUGCGGUAGGGGAGAUUGGAAUUCCUGGUGUAGCGGUGGAAUGCGCAGAUAUCAGGAGGAACACCGAUGGCGAAGGCAGAUCUCUGGGCCGUAACUGACGCUGAGGAGCGAAAGCAUGGGGAGCGAACAGGAUUAGAUACCCUGGUAGUCCAUGCCGUAAACGUUGGGCGCUAGAUGUAGGGACCUUUCCACGGUUUCUGUGUCGUAGCUAACGCAUUAAGCGCCCCGCCUGGGGAGUACGGCCGCAAGGCUAAAACUCAAAGGAAUUGACGGGGGCCCGCACAAGCGGCGGAGCAUGCGGAUUAAUUCGAUGCAACGCGAAGAACCUUACCACGGCUUGACAUACACCGGAAACG